UAGGGAAUCUUCGGCAAUGGGGGGAACCCUGACCGAGCAACGCCGCGUGAGUGAAGAAGGUUUUCGGAUCGUAAAGCUCUGUUGUUAAGGAAGAACGAGUGUGAGAAUGGAAAGUUCAUGCUGUGACGGUACUUAACCAGAAAGGGACGGCUAACUACGUGCCAGCAGCCGCGGUAAUACGUAGGUCCCGAGCGUUGUCCGGAUUUAUUGGGCGUAAAGAGCUGGUAGGCGGUUCGUCGCGUCUGGUGUGAAAGCCCAUCGCUUAACGGUGGGUUUGCGCCGGGUACGGGCGGGCUAGAGUGCAGUAGGGGAGACUGGAAUUCCCGGUGUAACGGUGGAAUGUGUAGAUAUCGGGAAGAACACCAAUGGCGAAGGCAGGUCUCUGGGCUGUUACUGACGCUGAGAAGCGAAAGCGUGGGGAGCGAACAGG
rnacentral:rRNA from 1 species